rnacentral:rRNA from 1 species
UCGAGAAUCUUCGGCAAUGGGCGAAAGCCUGACCGAGCGACGCCGCGUGUGGGAUGAAGGCCCUUGGGUUGUAAACCACUGUCAGAGGGGAUGAAGUGCAUGUGAGUUAUCUCAUGUGUUUGACAUAGCCUCAGAGGAAGCACGGGCUAAGUUCGUGCCAGCAGCCGCGGUAAUACGAACUGUGCAAACGUUAUUCGGAAUCACUGGGCUUACAGGGUGCGUAGGCGGCUUGUUAAGCAGGGUGUGAAAUCCCUCGGCUCAACCGAGGAAUUGCGCCCUGAACUGGCGAGCUGGAGUGGGACAGAGGUGCGCGGAACUUCCAGUGGAGCGGUGAAAUGUGUUGAUAUUGGAAGGAACGCCGGAGGCGAAAGCGGCGCACUGGGUCUUAACUGACGCUGAGGCACGAAAGCCAGGGGAGCAAACG